CGGGCAGGAGCGAGACCGCGCAGACCGCAUCUUCCCCGCGAACCCUAGCCGCGUCCUCGUCUCCUCCUCCAUCCACGCGCCUCGGCGGCGACCCUAUGGAGGGCGGCCGGGUCGGAGCGGUCCCCGCGUCCCUCCUUCCCCGCUCGGCGCUCUCUACUCCCAGCACAGCUGCCGCCUCCCUCCACUCUUCCCAUCUCGCUAGAGCCGCCGCAUCCGGAGGCGACCGGCGUUGCUCCAUCUCGACCUGCCCGUAACCUUCUCUCCCCGCAGCGGGCGGAGAAGAUGGAGAGGAGCUCGUCCGCCCACCUUCCACCAUGGUUUGCAGCGGUCGGAGAAGAUGGAGAGGCCGAACUGCGGCUGCCUCGUGCGCGCUCUCCUGCAUCUCGCGCGGGAGCGAGUGGUGGUGACUAGCAUAGAAGGCGGAGGAGGUCAUUGGGGCCGGCUUCCCUUCCGUUUUGGCUGCCAAGCUCCACGCGUUGGUGUUUGAUGAAAGUUCAGUAAGGCUGUGAGGGAAUACCAAACGAGAGAGGAUCCAGUAUCUGUUACAUGCAUCAGAUAUAGAUUGCAGUCAAGACACCUGCUCCCUCGUCAUCGACGGAAGGAGGAGAGCAGCAGCCACAACAGGCGACAGUGCUGGCGAAUGCGUCAGACAUGAGUCGCUUCGGCUUCUUCCAGCGGCCCAGCCAUGACGCCCUCAAGCCGCCGAUAGCAGCGGCCCUCUCCCAAGCUACACUGCUCCUGAUCUUCGUCGCCCCACACCGUCGUACUAUGCACAGCUCAGCCUGGCCAUGAUGCUCUUAGCCCGCGGACGCUCACAGCGUAACCGACGGUGGCGACUCACUCCCAACCCGUGUUGCUCUCCAUCAGUGCUGACGGAUUAGUUUGUUUUACAGUGUGGGCACCAGGUCUCUGAGUAGUUUAAAUCUGAACGCAACACCAAGGCUGCCAGCCUGAGCAUUGCCGAAUAGUACAGCAAAGCAUUUUCUGAACUUGCUAAAAGCAAACAUGGAAGCUCUCCCUAAUUCAUCGAUUAAAGGUGGCUCACAUAGAUCGUUCUCUUACUGACUAAUUAAUUAGAUUAUGGAUUUUCUUUAUGUUAUUAUUACUGAUCUCAGAUGCUUAGUUUCCAAGUUUAUCUCAAAACUUCACCUUCUAUGAAUGCCCCCAGGUGGUGCAUAUCUAAAAGCUCUUUGUGCAUUCUUAAGAUUUUUGUAUAUGCAUUUGCGUGAAUUGAGCCCGGAUCUGAUAUGGUUUGGCUAUGUUCAUGGUUUUCUUUGGUCAUGUAUGAGUGGAAAAGGGAGGCAGGGGAGUUCCAGUUUGUGAGGACAGUGGCGACAUGGUUGACUGAAUGGCAAUAGGAAGAAGGCACAUCUCAUAUAAUUGUUUUAUUCAAGACAAGUCUACACUCUCUUAUGUCAAAUUUGCACAGAUUUCCCUGCCCUAGGCUAUUUCUAAGGGGGAGAGAAGAGUGUUAUUUUUUUGGGGGGAUUACAAAGAAUGGUAGCGCAUGAGGAGUAUUAGCCACGGAGGAGGGAGGAGACUGACAUGAGGAAAACAUAUUCUGGAUCGAUUUGGUUCUCAUGGUGGCAUCUUCCCUGCUUUCUCCUUUCUUUUUAUUUCCAACACUCUUUGGUACAGAGCGAUUAACAAACAACUGAACUGAAUAUUGCUUUUUCUCCUUUUCAGAUAAGUUAGUUUACAUUAGUUUUCUGUUUGCUUUCCGUAUGGAUCUAUAUAUGUUAUUUUUAUAUCCAGUUUUCUGGGUGCUUUUCAAAAAGGGGGAGACCCAUGGCCGAUAUAGUUGCAUUAAGGUGCAAUUUGAUAACUAAAUACAUAAUAUAAGUCCAUCAAAAUAUUACAUGCAUGUGUGCUGUUUGUGCUUGUAUACCUUCAAUCUGCUUUGUGGAAGGCUGUUUGUAUUAAACUUUAGUGCUCGGUUGUUCAUCAUAGUCCCAUUCCCUUGAUAAUUAAUAUUGAAGCAAUGAAAAAUAGGUGAAAUUGCAAGAAACUUGAAGAAGUGGAGGAACAUGACUCAGUCUGUCAUUGGGGACAUGUACUGUUACAGAUACACUCUGUAUUUCUACCUAUCGUUGGUGUGAUGUUUGAACAUUAAGUUGUCAUUUAAUUAUGGCAUUCCCUUCUGCUUUUGUUUAUGCUAUAACAAUAGCCGCAAACUAUCUUCGGGACGUAUGGCAGGUUUGCUGACAAUCUGAUUGCGUUGCAGGUUUGGUACUAAUUUCUCAAAAAAAAAUCAUGCUUUUGCAGCACCGUCCUGUUGAGCCAUGAGAUCUAAACCAAGGAAUCCAGAUAACAUCGACUAUGUUUAUAGAUCACUACAUGUUCCGUUGGAACAUUGUGAGGUCCUUUUUCCAGUUUGCUACUAAAUUCUCAAAAAAGAAACGUUCUUAUGCAUCACCAUCAUGUGGAACCACGAUACCUGAACCAAUGAACUCAGUGAACAUUUAUUAUAUUUAUUAUGGAUCAUUACAUGUUCUGCUGGAACAAGGUGAGAUCCUUUUCAGUAACAAGUUGAACGCGCGUCAUGCUUUUUUGAAUAUAACUGAAUAUCUAAAAUAGCCAUGGUGUAUUGGUGUAUAUAUUUUAAAAUGGCAAGCUUGCAUCUUGAUGUUUGAUUGCUAUGAACUUCCGUAUUAUAAAAUUACUAUAGAUUUCCUUUAGUUCUCCAAAAAGGACAAUUUGUUUGUUUGUUACGGUGCCAAUAGUAACAGAAGAUCAUGAUGAAGUUGAGUAUGUAGAAAUACUUUUUAAGGCGCCUCAUUAUUUGCUGCCAAUGACUGUUUUGCCCCAAUCUCUGGCUUUCCAAACAUAGCAUUGCUAUGCCUCCAACAUUCAUCGAUUGUCAAUUAUUCUCUUAUACAUGACAUUGAUGCCCUGUGUUUGGGUAAUAUGUAUAGAAUUAGUUCCGUUCUACAAGGACCGGAUAUUGUCACAUUGAUUAAGUAUAAUUUUUUCAAGCAUGCUAGAGUAUGGUGGCAUUUUAUAGGCCCUUGAGCUAUAAAAUUUUGUAUGCUCAGUUUCUUGAUCUGUAUUUGCCAUUUGAGCCAAAUUAUCUCAUCAGGGACGCAUCAACAUACAAACUCACCCUUCAGUUUACUUAUAACAUUUCUUUUUAUAUGGUGCAACAGCUUGAGAUAUAUGAAGAGAAUUUUUACAUGUCCAAUGCAGACUGUUUGUUUUCACUUUCUAAUCAAUGAAGUAUGUUUAAUUGAUAAAGUAAUUUUAAUUGAUGAAGUAGAUAUAGUUGUUGCAGCGGCACAAACUCGGUUGCGUCCGCUAUGACCCCAAUCUUCGGAUUAUUAUAAGUAGAGGUUGAUCGUGUAGGAGGUGAAGAUGCUCACGCCUAAAGCCAAACUUGACGCCGUCGACGCCACCAUCCGGGAGCUCAUUUAUAUUGGCUUCGAAUGGCUACCGUUGUAUUUUCUGUACUUUUGGUUGUGGUCGUAAUUGUUACCCUGUGCCUUUGCAAGAAUAACUGAAAAUGGUGAUUUCUAUUGACUGUAAACCGAGUACUUGUCUAAUUAUUGUUCAAGAAAAUAUAGUGAGUCGUGUUCUUGGUUGCUAAUAGUAUAGUACACCUAUGCGGAUCCUUCUGUCGGACCGUUGAAUGGAAAUAACUCAAAAGAAGAUAAUAGAGGUGUUGUCUCUAUGCAAUCGGUAACUGUCAGUUCAGUUACAAAGAACGACCAUCACAAAUAACUUUGAGAUGUCCAUUGGUAAAGGUCAGUUUGGAGUAGUCUAUUUUGGCUACUUGAAAGAUGGAACCCCAGUUGCAGUCAAAACACGCUUAGAAUCAUCAUCUCAUGGGGUUAAUGAGUUCUUGGCAGAGGUUAGCUUUCUUCCCGCUCAUCUCCUCUCCUCUUAUUCUUAUGCAUGUUUUAUUUUUCUCUUCCGUCUAGAUCAAAUCAAUUUUCCCAAAUAAUCUCUCCAUUUUGCCAAACACUCUGGUCACUUAUUGACAGAACUACUCUGAAUUGCAUUUCAGGCUCUACAUCUAAUAAGAGUUCAUCACAGGAACUUGGUCAAUCUGGUUAGCCACUACAAGGAUGGACACCACUCAACUCUUGUCUACGAGUAUAAAUUGCUAAUUUGCAUUGCUCUUUCGUGCAACAAGUGCGUUGAUACUUACAAACAACGAGGCAUGUGACUAUUUACUAUCACUGUUGUUUGGUAUUUGAACAUGUCUUUUCGAGGGGGAGAUGGGAACAGAUAGACUCAGUGAAAGUUGGCUGCACGUAAACUAUUGUGAUCAAGUUGGAAAAAAAUGUUUCCCCUCUUAACUGCUCCUGUUGGAGACUGGGGUCAGUAGUCACUGAAAUUUGCACACGCAUGGAGGAAUGAAUGAUGAUUCUCAAGUAACGAAGUUGUAGCCUUCACGACAAGAUAAAUGGAUGAUUUUGCAGCUCAAGUGUUGCUACAUGUUACAGAUAACUAUGGCAUUCCAUUUUAAUGAAUCUGCAUAUUGCUGUUGAGCACCGGAAGCGAGGGAGGGCAUGGCUGCACUAGAGGUUGUCCCAAGGCGAGGGCAGGGCAGAGACAUGCAACAAUGAGGGUUGCAACCGUAAUCAAUAUCUCAACAUCGAAUCAUUUCCUAUAGCCUUCCAGCAAAUUCAUUCUUAUUUUCUGAUUGGGUCAUGUUAGGCCAGCAAAGUAAACCUAGAAAAACUGAUUAGGCAAUGAUGUUUUUGUUUAAUUUUAGUGUUUGGUAUUUGUUUCAGAUAUGAAUAAUUCUGGUUAUGGUUUCUGCAUUGCAUAGUGAUGUUAUAAUGAGAUUAGAGAUAGUUGUCACGCAUCUCUUUUCACUACAAACACAUAUGCACUUGCUUUUCGAUCAUUAGUGCUCCCCUUUCUAUGCUAUUAAGCAUAUGGCCCUAAGAUGUUGCAUUUAGUUCUUCAAUUGAAUCAGUUGUGGAAAUAGGGACAAAAGAUGCCAAUCUUCUCUUGAAGACCACAACAUUGAUGCCUUUUGUUGAUCAUUGGUCUCUAAAUAUUCUUACGUGCAUGGUUUGAACGCUUGGAUCGCUCUUGCUCUUUGCGCCAUCAGCGCGACGGGUCAUCUAGCAUGAACGAAGGGCGAGUAUAUGCUUUUGCCUUCAAAUGCACUUCCAAGGGACUGUGCCUGAUCGUCUACUCAAUAUAAGCAAGUUGCAAGAGCCCCUUGUUAUAUAACUUAUCAUUAGUAUAGAUGCCUACUAAGACUUCUAUGUUUAUCAUCCUUUUGGAUCUUAUGUAAUCCCUUAAGACCAUUCUAUGCAUUUAAUUGUUGAUUAUUUGCUGCUUAGACUGUUGUGUGGUACGCUUUUGGAACAACCAUGAUGAAAGAACAUAUGCUUUCGCCUUCAAGUGCACAUCCAAAGGCCUCUGCAUGAUUGUCUAUCUAAUCUAAGCAGAUCACAAGAGUCCUUUGCUACAUGACUUAGUAUUACUACUAUGAAGAGUUGGCUCAGAGAAGUUGUUCUCAACGUCCAGCGAUACAUCUGUCUAACAUAUCUCUGGCUAUCUACAUGCCUUGCUCAUCACAUUGUAAAUGAUCAUCUGUCUAACAUAUCUCUGGCUAUAUACAUGCCUUGCUCAUCAUAUUGUAAAUGAUCGCCCGUAAGCUUCUUAGAAAACAUGUAUCAUGAGCAACCAUCUAUCUAUCAUCAGUCUGUACUUAUUUCCACAUGUUUCAUUUUGUGUUUACAUAUUUUAGUGCAUACUCUUCCAAUACUUGGCUUGCAUUCGGCCUUUGCGUCAUUGGCGCAACGGGUCAUCUAGUUAGUAUAAAGGCAGCAGUAUGGAACCAAUGUAUUCCCUGGUCUGACUUGAAUUGAUGGUCUAAUUUGACAUAUUUUGAAGCAACAAAGCAGUGAAUCUCCCUCAAAUUUCUACGCGCAACAAACCUUCAAAGUGGCAGGGCGGUGCGAUGCAGUUAACAAACUCCAAGACCGGCACCAAGAGGCGGCUGGACCGUGCGGGCUUGCAGACGACGGCGAGGACCACAUGGCGGCAGGGUCGUGGUGUUGCUGCGGACGGCGGCGAGGAGCGAGGGGCAGCAGGUCCAGCCGUGGUGUUGCUGACGGCGGCGAGGAGCGAGGGACGGCAAGGUCGUGCUACCCGGACGGCGGCGAACGGUGCCGGUCACAAUCUCGUCUCUCUCAUGAGCCCUGGCCAUUAUGUCAAGGAAGCUCAACUCCUCUUGUCCGUACAGGUAAAACUCAGCAGACCGUAUGCACACCUUGUUUUCCUGUAACAAACGAUUACCACGGUCAGAUGAGAUCUAAGGCAAGUCGGUGGUUAACUUUAUAAACUAACAUAUGUUGCAUCAUUAAAUAGAGAUACUUGAAGUCAUUGUUAGCUGGGAAGUGUGGCCUGUAGACAUAGAUUGUCGAAAAGGCAUGCUUUUGAACUAUUAAAGCACAACUCAAAGCAUGUCACAUUUUACAUAGUACCUCCUCAGCGAAGAGUUCCUCAAGAAACACUGUCGAUUUGCUUGCCUUCUGCCACCAUGGCUAAUGAAAUACUAACAAGUUCAUUUGACAGAAUGUAAUCGCUGAAUUUGGAGAUAGACACAAGGUUUAUUGUUCUCGA